GAUGAACGCUAGCGGCAGGCCUAAUACAUGCAAGUCGAACGGUGUCUUCGGACAUAGUGGCGCACGGGUGCGUAACACGUAUGCAACCUACCUUACAUUGGGGGAUAGCCUUUCGAAAGGGAGAUUAAUACCGCAUAAGACAGUAGCUGGGCAUCCAGCAGCUGUUAAAGAUUUAUCGAUGUAAGCUGGGCAUGCGUCCAAUUAGCCAGUUGGUGAGGUAACGGCUCACCAAGGCAAUGAUUGGUAGGGGAACUGAGAGGUCAAUCCCCCACACUGGCACUGAGAUACGGGCCAGACUCCUACGGGAGGCAGCAGUAGGGAAUAUUGGGCAAUGGACGCAAGUCUGACCCAGCCAUGCCGCGUGCAGGAUGAAGGCGUUAUGCGUUGUAAACUGCUUUUAUACAGGAAGAAACGACUCUUGCGAGAGGCAUUGACGGUACUGUAUGAAUAAGCACCGGCUAACUCCGUG
rnacentral:rRNA from 1 species